rnacentral:rRNA from 1 species
UACGUAGGGUGCAAGCGUUAAUCGGAUUUACUGGGCGUAAAGCGCGCGCAGGCGGUCGUUCAAGUCGAGUGUGAAAGCCCCCGGCUCAACUGGGGAGGGUCACUCGAUACUGAUCGACUUGAAGGCAGAAGAGGGAAGCGGAAUUCCCGGUGUAGUGGUGAAAUGCGUAGAUAUCGGGAGGAACACCAGUGGCGAAGGCGGCUUUCUGGUCUGUUCUUGACGCUGAGGCGCGAAAGCUAGGGUAGCAAACGGG